rnacentral:tRNA from 1 species
GGAGAGCGGGCAGGACGGUAAUGCGUCAGUCUUGAAAACUGAUGAGCGUAAGCUCUAACAGGUUCGACCCCUGUGCUCUCCG